rnacentral:rRNA from 1 species
CUCGGGCGGCUGCAGUGGGGAAUAUUGGACAAUGGGCGAAAGCCUGAUCCAGCCAUGCCGCGUGUGUGAAGAAGGCCUUCGGGUUGUAAAGCACUUUCAGUGGGGAAGAAAGCCUUGGGGCUAAUACCCUCGAGGAAGGACAUCACCCACAGAAGAAGCACCGGCUAACUCCGUGCCAGCAGCCGCGGUAAUACGGAGGGUGCGAGCGUUAAUCGGAAUUACUGGGCGUAAAGCGCGCGUAGGCGGUCUGAUAAGCCGGUUGUGAAAGCCCCGGGCUCAACCUGGGAACGGCAUCCGGAACUGUCAGGCUAGAGUGCAGGAGAGGAAGGUAGAAUUCCCGGUGUAGCGGUGAAAUGCGUAGAGAUCGGGAGGAAUACCAGUGGCGAAGGCGGCCUUCUGGACUGACACUGACGCUGAGGUGCGAAAGCGUGGGUAGCAAACAGGAUUAGAUACCCCAGUAGUC